rnacentral:lncRNA from 1 species
ACAACUUUGUGCGAGAAGACGACGGAGGAUUAGGUCGAGUCGACUUCUAUUUCCUUUCGAAACGUAUAAAAACAAGAUCUUAAGAACAAGCUUACCUUAAUCAGGAACGAGUUCCGUCGGUUGACAUGCUUCCAAUACAGUUAAAAAGAUGGACGGGAAGAAAAAAAUAUAUAGACUAACAUUUUGUACUAUGUAAACUUUGUAAUUUUAAUGAUCAUGUAAGCCAAUUUGUACGUUUGUGUAUAUAUAUAAGCUAUUUUUUAUUAUUUUUUUUAUGAACUGAUAAUGAAGUUGAACGACACCGCGGUAAAAAGUUGCAGUAAUCAAGUAAGGAGCAAUAUGAAUUUUUAACAUCAAUCAAAAUUCUCAAUUUUCUUCCAAGUAGUGUGCUACACAUGAUCUUCAUUAGAUAGAGGUUAUUCGAACUAAACGUAAAAACUGAACUUUACAAUAUUCGAUUUGUGUCACAUAUAAAGUUAUAUCAAAUUGUAGGUUCUUCUUUGGAAUCGUGAUCUAUUUAAAUAAGACUGUCUUUCAAAAAAUUGUAAAAUAAUUAGUUCUUUGGUUCUUAGUUCAAUAAGGGUACCAGUUAAAACAUGUGAAGCAGGUAACAGUGCAAAAUAUAUAGAAGGGAUAAAAAAUUAGACAAAUAUGAGUUUUUUUUUUAUGCAUAUACAAAUAUGAGUAAACUCAUAAAUUAUAUUAAAUCGGUAUUGUCAGAAAACAUGGGUUUUAUCUCGUUAUGUUGUAGGUUAAUUUUUUUUACAAACUUCUGGUGUUGUGUACGCCUUUGACAACACGUUUUAUUGUUUUAACAUGAAAAUAACGAGAAAACUAACGUUCGAUGUUACAGAAUCGUACAAUAUUAGAAAAGAAUAAUUAUAAAAUAAACUUUUUUGUACUUUUUGAAAAGUACUAAUUAUUCUCAUAAUUUUUACAAACAAAUCGUUGUUACGUGAAACAGUACUGCCUAUAUUAAUAAUAUUUAAAUAAAAUAAAAUUAUAUAUGUUAUUUAUAAUCAUAUUAUGUAUAUAGUUUUUCAACUUUUCAAAGAAAUAGUUAAUAAUUUUAUAUUAAGUUAAAGUUAGUUUAAUAUAUAAAUCCUAUAUUAUUGUUAUACCAAAUUUUCGUAAAUGAAUAUAUUAUUAAUAAUAGAUGUCUCUUAAUAUUUGUUAUUAUUAUACUUAUAUUUUAAUUUUUAUUUUUUAGUAUUUUUGUAACUCUUAAGUUAUUAAUAUCAUAUAAUUUUUUGUAAAACAAUAUUUUCGUCAUCAUAUAUCUCAAAUUUUAUUCAUACUUUCAAUAAAAAAUAUAUAUUUUUUAAAUAUAUAAAUUGUGCACAACAUAGUUUAUUACUCCCUCCGUCCCUCGGAAUAAUAUACAUAUGGAAUGGACACGGAGAUUAAGAAAAAUGUAUAAAGUAGUAUAAAGUAAUAUGAAAGAGAAGAGAAAGUGGUUAAAAUGGUGGGACCCAUCAAUAUUUAAGAGAGAGAUUUGAAAAAGUAGAUGAAAGUAGUUGGUGAGUGGGAUUUUUAUAUCAUAAAUGUANUAACGGAGAUGGAGUCAUUGAGGAGGACACUCACAACUUUGUGCGAGAAGACGACGGAGGAUUAGGUCGAGUCGACUUCUAUUUCCUUUCGAAACGUAUAAAAACAAGAUCUUAAGAACAAGCUUACCUUAAUCAGGAACGAGUUCCGUCGGUUGACAUGCUUCCAAUACAGUUAAAAAGAUGGACGGGAAGAAAAAAAUAUAUAGACUAACAUUUUGUACUAUGUAAACUUUGUAAUUUUAAUGAUCAUGUAAG